AUACGGAGGGGGUUAGCGUUGUUCGGAAUUACUGGGCGUAAAGCGCACGUAGGCGGACUGGAAAGUUGGGGGUGAAAUCCCGGGGCUCAACCCCGGAACUGCCUCCAAAACUUCCAAUCUAGAGAUCGAGAGAGGUGAGUGGAAUUCCAAGUGUAGAGGUGAAAUUCGUAGAUAUUUGGAGGAACACCAGUGGCGAAGGCGGCUCACUGGCUCGAUACUGACGCUGUGGUGCGAAAGCGUGGGGAGCAAACAGGAUUAGAAACCCCAGUAGUCC
rnacentral:rRNA from 1 species